rnacentral:rRNA from 1 species
GACGAACGCUGGCGGCGUGCCUAAUACAUGCAAGUAGAACGCUGAAGAGAGGAGCUUGCUCUUCUUGGAUGAGUUGCGAACGGGUGAGUAACGCGUAGGUAACCUGCCUUGUAGCGGGGGAUAACUAUUGGAAACGAUAGCUAAUACCGCAUAACAAUGGAUGACACAUGUCAUUUAUUUGAAAGGGGCAAUUGCUCCACUACAAGAUGGACCUGCGCUGUAUUAGCUAGUAGGUGAGGUAAUGGCUCACCUAGGCGACGAUACAUAGCCGACCUGAGAGGGUGAUCGGCCACACUGGGACUGAGACACGGCCCAGACGCCUACGGGAGGCAGCAGUAGGGAAUCUUCGGCAAUGGGGGCAACCCUGACCGAGCAACGCCGCGUGAGUGAAGAAGGUUUUCGGAUCGUAAAGCUCUGUUGUAAGUCAAGAACGGGUGUGAGAGUGGAAAGUUCACACUGUGACGGUAGCUUACCAGAAAGGGACGGCUAACUACGUG